rnacentral:rRNA from 1 species
CAGCAGCCACGGGAAUACGUAGGUGGCAAGCGUUGUCCGGAAUUAUUGGGCGUAAGGCGCGCGCAGGUGGUUUAAUAAGUCUGAUGUGAAAGCCCACGGCUCAACCGUGGAGGGUCAUUGGAAACUGUUAAACUUGAGUGCAGGAGAGAAAAGUGGAAUUCCUAGUGCAGCGGUGAAAUGCGUAGAGAUUAGGAGGAACACCAGUGGCGAAGGCGGCUUUUUGGCCUGUAACUGACACUGAGGCGCGAAAGCGUGGGGAGCAAACAGGAUUAGAUACCCCGGUAGUCCCUGUCUCUUAUAC